GAGCCUUCAUUGUUAGUCAACAUAAUACUGAUGCAUCAUGAUUUUUAUUAAUUUUGAAUUGAUUUUGGUUCUACUGUUGCUUCUAGUAAAGUAAAAGAUAUUUUCUCAGAAGCAGACAGGAUUUGGCCUUUAAUUUAGGUUUCAGGCUAGCAUUAGUAAAACAUGUUAAAAAUGUUCAGCUAAUUAUUGUACAGUGAAAUUCUGAAUAGGUUUUGACUGUGUUGUCUGUGUUUAUUUUCCAAAGUUGCUGAAGGCCAAAUGACAGAUUUGUUUGUUCUUUUUUCCAUGAUCUGUGACUAAAAGAUCGAAGGGGAAAAAAAAAUCAUCAGUUACAAUAGGCAUUUUCUAAAUAUUUUAGGUAAAUGUUUUCUUUUUAGUAAUAUUUAUAUUAUAAAAAUAGAAACAUUUCUAGAAGGUACAGGAAAGUAGUUUAAACAAAAAAUACUGAAAGGUGCAUAUGAGUAUUUUAAACGUAAAUGUGUAUACAUGCACAGAUGUGCAAGCUGUUGAAUAUUAGGUUCUAACUUUCUUGUAGCUUGAAACUCUGCUUUAUUGCUUCGUCCUAUUAGAAUUUUUCAAUUAUCAUUGGCACUUGAAAGAAUCUUGUAUCAAACUACUUUUAAUUCUAAGCUGUAUCUUUGAAUCUUAUGUGAUUAUGACAAAUAGUUGAAAUUUCACUAUUUCUUUAGCUGAGAAGCACUCAAGAUCUGUGUACCAUGCAAAUCCCUUCUAAGCUUUAUUCUGAUUGAAAUAGCACAUAUUUUUUGAGGUAAUUCUUUAAAGACAGAAUUUUACCCAAGAUACGUUUUGAUGGUGUAAAUUGUACACUUAAUUCUACUGAAUUUCUCUCUGAGUGCUCAUACAAAACUCUGGACAGAAUCUGUUUAUUUGGAUGAAAAUGAGUUUUAUAUUGAUGAUGUAAUUGAAUGUAUUUGUAGUACAUAAUGUGGAUUACUGUCCGAAUGCAGUCAUAUCGUAGCAAGCGCAUAAAUAUUUUCAGAUUAGUAAGGAACAAAAUGUUUUUCUGCCUUAAUGGAUCCUCCGCAGCUCCUUGAGAAUUAUAAUGCAACUCACUAAUAAUUCCAAAGAAAUUUGCAAUCUUAAAACUUGAGCUGUAUAAUGUUGAAGUUCUUCACUACCAACUGGCACACAGCAGAUUUUAUGAGGUCUGUGAAAUUUAAGUUAGAAACCACUUUACAAACACUAUGAGUCAUUCUGGUCAGUUCUCCUAAAUUGUACCAGCAAAUAAAUAAAUUGUAGAUCUUAAUACAUUGGAUGUUGGAUGCUUUACUUCCAGAAUUAUUGCUAAGACCACUGAUAGCUGUUUUGCUUCAUAAAGCUAUGCAGCUGUAGCAUUGUUUUAAGAAGUAGUUUUGAUUUUUCUUUACACAUAGACUGUGCAUUAAAUGAAAGCCCUAAAAUCAGUGUACCAAAGCAUUUUCUGAAAUUAAAAUAACUUCUGUGUUCUUCUGAGCUUUCAUCCUUGCUGUGAACCAAAUAAUAGAAUUCAGAAAACCACAGUCUUAUUUAGUGAAUGGUAAAAAAUAAAACCUACUUGUGAAAAUUUGAAGAUUAUAAAAAUAGAAUGCAGUGUUCCUCUGUAGCAGUUGUGGCAAUCUGAAAUUAUCACAUGUGUGUGCAGCUGUCUAUAGGCAAAUGAAAUAUGUUUGAGAAUUUUGGUUUUGUUUGUAAAACAGUAAAGACCACAUCCUGGUGCUGAGGAACUGGAAAGCCAGAGUUAGCAAACAGCUGGAGAGUCUUCUUGAAAAGACAUUUUGUCUUCGUGUGUUCUGUCAUUCUUUUCUGUUUUGUUUUGACUGAAAUAAGUUAUUUUGAAAGCUCUGCCUGUUCAGGAUCUGAAGAACCAGUGACUGAGUAGAUAAAAACUAUUUCCACCAAUCUGUUCUGAAAAGCAAGAAUUGAGAUAUUUAUGCUCUUUGAUUCCUAUAUCUGGAAACAACAUUAUGAUAAACUAGGUACUUAUUAAGUCUUUGGCAGCACCUACACAAAGGAUUUUGGGGAUCACUUGCAAAGUCACUCUUCCAAGAAACACGUCUGGAAUUAUCACUGCAGAAUCUCUCUAUAAUGACUUGAGCCUUAUACAGAUGAAACUUGUUGGGCGUGUGGCUUUGUAAGGCAGUAUUAACAACAACACGUAUUUCCGUUGGGUGGCAAAAGGUUGAUAUCACAGGAAGGACAAACGUUACUCAUGAGAUGCACUUUGUAUUAGAUGCAGAAUGAGUAAAAGCUUAAUGGAAGAUAACGAUUUAGCUUGAAGUAAAUCUCGGGAGACAUUUUCAAGAGAACUCUCAGACGGCGAAACUGACUAAUGAAGGUUGGUCUAGUGUUACCCACAUAGCUGAAAGAAUCCAGCAGUGUAGGGUAAACAGUCCCUUUCUAGCAUUAUGGUUAGAUGGGACUUCAUACAGUGAAAUACCUAUUGCUUUUGUGCAUAUACAGGAACUUAUUGUUUGGAACGAAUGUCUAUAGAUGGUUUCUUGAAGGAGAAUCCCAAUUUGACUGUCCUUUCAUCACAUUACGUUUUACUCCGAUGAAAUCAUAUAAUUUUCUUGAGAACUAUAUAAGCACCAAGAAUGGCAAAUUACGAAAAGCUUCGUGUAUUAGUGGUAUCUGUCAAAUCAAUGAUAGAGACUCAUAAUUACUUUUUUUUUUCCUGCUAUUAAUUUCAUAUCAAUUGCUUGUGUUGGCCUGUUCUGGCUAUGAACUACAAUUUUGUUUUGGGGUUUUGAGAAUGAUUCCAAAUAAUUUAAAAAGUAAAGAAAGAAAUUAUAUCAAUAUUUAAUUUUCCCACAAGAUUGAGAAACCAUAAAAAGUCAGUUUCCAUACAAAUGUGUGGACUGUUGAUGGACAUAAUUAUAUUCUGGAAAUUAUAGUCAUAUGAAUGAAACCAGAAUCUAGUAUAUAUUAAAAAUAAAUCUUACAUAUAUUCAAAUAAAUAGGAACUGUGGGACAGCAAAUGAUUAGAUGUAGAAUAGCAACAGAGAACUAUAGAUGAUGCAAAAAAAUUCUGCAGCUGCUUCUAAAGAGAAUGUUUGCGAUGAUAUUACAGCACCUUGUAAUAUCCCAUGCAACUUGACUAUUUCUGUGUUAAAAUGGAUGCAGAGUUAAGUAUUGUGCAGAAAAUAUUCAUGUCAUUAUCAGGCAGUUUAGUAUUUAAUGGGAUCUUGAAUGCUUUGAUUUUAUACCAUACAUAUCUAAACCAUGAAAGUUAAAGAACAUAAAUAAUAUUUUAUAUUUGUUUUGCAGUCGAGAUAUUCUUAAGUAUAUUUUUUAAGUCAUUAGAUAAAUGGCUAUGCCUCUGCCAAACCAGUGUAAUCUUACAAGAUGGUGCAUGAAAAAAAGGUCGUAGGUAGGCGCUGGGUAGAGACUCGAACUCUUGUGGGUUACUCUGAGCAGUAUUUAUUGUAGAAGAUUCACAGGAACAGCAGCGUUGGGUCACCUCCUCAGAGAGUGACAAUCAUACAGCAGUAUAACUAGUCAUUAUAUAGGGUUCUAACAGGUAUUAUGCAACUAAACAAAAUCUAUCACUGUCUAUCACUGUCGAUAUCUAUCACUGUUGAUAUCCUCAGGUUCCUUCCGUUCCAGUGGUCUGCGGGUUCCACUUCUUCUUUCUUGGCAAGUACAGAACGACAGGUCAUCAGUCGCAGGGCUAGCUUCUUUUGAAGUUCCACCUGUCUCAUUUGUUAUCCAUAGUUCACCAGUCUAGCAUAGAAAUCAGCAACCCUAAGAAUAGCAUUUAUCAAUGUCUUAACUAAAGGUACAAAGCGAGCAUAAGGUAACCACGCUCGUGGUUCUGGGUAAGGACUGUACAGGGGACAAGCUGAGACUUUCAGCUUUAGCAGCACAGCUUAUAACACUGAUAUAGGCCUAAAAUCCUAAUUUCCUAUUUUCCUACAACAGUGCACACAUUCAAGUCUUAAUUAACCACCUAUUUUGUGGUGAUUAUUUUUCUGUAGCUAUUUAACAAAGGCACUUGGUUGGUUUACAACAGUAAUAAAAGCAAAGAGCAGGAUAAAUAAGGGAUGCUCUAUCAUUUUGACAUGCCACAAGUGAAACAGUGCGUUUUUUUUUUCGUACUGGGGGACUAGAAUAGCAUAUACAGUGUUCCAUGUGCUAUUUGAAUGAAUAAAAUAGCUUUCUUCAAAA